rnacentral:rRNA from 1 species
AUGGACUCCCGCACGACCCACUAUGCAAGUUCUGCUGCCAAGAGCCUGAGACCAUCGACCACAUCUUGGUCCAAUGGGCCUUCUCGAAUCACAUGGCAUGAGAUCCACUCAUGGUGCAGGCUGCCGGCCUCCGCCCCCGCUGCCUCGGCGAGCUUCUAAGCCUGGUGGGCUGCCACCUCCAACACCGCUCCAGCCAGCCUCCACAAGGGUGCAAACUCCCUCAUUGCCCUUGUGGCUUGGUCCCUCUGGAAGCACCGCAACGCCGCGGUGUUUGACAAUGCCCGACCUUCAUGCGAUGAUCUACAGCGCACCAUCCGCGACGAGGCUCGACUUUGGGCUCGCGCCGGUGCCAUAGGCUUAGAGUCAAUUAUCCCUGCAUUGUAA